UACUAAACCAAUAACGAGUUCGUUUUGGUAGGAUGAAAGUUAUUUAGUAAGUAAUUCAUUAAAUCUGACCUCCUGCCUGACAAGUUUAAAACCACAAGAUUUCAACCACGCGUCUGCAUGACAUGUGGUUUGGUGUUUUGUUAGGUGAAGAAAGGUUUGGCAGUGAAGAUAUAUAGAAAUAUGGUGACCCUUCAAAUAAUGGACAAUGUUUUUGAUAAAGCACAAAAACAAGGGAGGUUAUCCUUGUAUAUGGCCACUGUUGGAGAAGAAGUCAUUAACAUAGCUUCUGUUGCUGCUCUCACCACACAUGAUAUCGUCUUACCUCAGGUCAUUGUUCUAUCACAAACUCAUAAUACUAAUAAAAUGUUGUGUUGAUUUUUCAGAUGGUCACUUAGUUAAUAGUUAUUAUCUCAGUAAUUCACUUUCAAGUGUCGAGGCACUUGCAUUCGAAGAAACGCUAAAAUGUAAGCAUUUUUUUAUGAUCGUAGUAUAGGGAGCCCGGUGUUCUGUUAUGGCGUGGCUUCACCCUGAAAGAAUUUACCAAUCAAUUGCUUGGAAAGAAGGAUGAUAACGGAAAAGGAAGGCAAAUGCCAAUACAUUAUGGUUCUAACAAGCUCAAUUAUUUCACCGUCUCUUCAACUCUCGCGUAAGAAUCUUUUUUCCAAGCACAAGAUUGAUUCAGAUCACACACACGGAGGCUGGCAAAUGACAAUACAUUAUAGUUCUAACAAGCUCAAAUCUCGCGCUCACACAUUAACUAACUACCCCUUACUUAUAUUGUUCGUUUCCAAAGCACGCAGCUUCCACAGGCAGCAGGCGUGGCUUAUGCGCUGAAAAUGGAUAGAAAGGAAGCUUGUGUAGUCACUUAUUUUGGUGAUGGUACUAGUAGUGAGUUCUUGAAACUCCUGUUAUAUUUCUAUGCCGCAACAAUGGAUGGGCCGUUAGCACCCCUGUCAACGAACAAUUCCGAAGUAUUAACCCUAAACUCAAUUAAAUCUGUUAUAAUGGUGUGAAUCUGUAUGGUGAAAAAAUUGUUUUACAAACUGUGUUAUCAUAACCACAAAUUACUGAUUGUAAUAAAUUGUUCAGAAACACGAAGUAACUGAAAUUUAUAGAACCA